rnacentral:tRNA from 1 species
CGGGAUGUAGCGCAGUUUGGUAGCGUACCUCGCUUGGGACGAGGGGGUCGCUGGUUCAAAUCCAGUCAUCCCGA